UGAGAGUAUUCUUUAUCUUAAAGGAGUUUCUGGCUCUAGGAUUUAAAUAUGUGUUCUAUAUCUGUAUGUAAUCUUGAAUACUGACAAUGAUGACCACCACCUCUGUGUAUUCAUUCUGUGCUAGACCUUUUAUAUUUAAUAAUAAACCACAGUAAUGUACUGUGAUUUAGACUAUGUAAAUCACCUAGAUCAAACAAUUAGUAAACGAUAAAGGAGAUAUUGUAAAUUAAAACAUGCUUGACUGAUCCCAAAGCCAUGGUUUUCUUUUACCCAAUACUCACUCUCUGUCAGAUUACAAAUAAUUGAAGAAAGAUUCACUUAAAAGUCUAUUCUCAUAUAAGAAAAUAGGGACUGUAUAAUAAUCAAAUUAUCAGGAAAAUUUUAACAGACAGAAGGAAGGCCAUAUGGUAGUAAACACACCCAUGCAAGCACACAAGUUAUUAAAUGCUACAAACAACCUUGUAUUGUCCCCAUUUUCUUUCUUUUUAUUUUAUUUUAGAAGACACCGAGUAAUUGAGGAGUGAGUGAGUCAUGUUCUUGGUUAGUAGGUAGUAUAGAGCAGAUUUAAACCCAGGUCAGCCAGAAAUGUUCAUCAGGAGCCUAGACUGAUAUUUAGAAGGAAGUGAUAAAUGUGGAUUGACGUAAACAUGUGGGAAAUAAUCAAAGAUUAGUAAAAAAUAAAAAAAAUAGCAGAAUGAAUAAAGCAGUAAAAUGUGAUAGGAACAGAUGAAUGGAAGAAAAUGGAUGACUCAAUAAAGAGAAAAAAGAAAGCUACAAUUUCAGUAAUAUAAAAUUUUAGUCAUGGCUAUCUUUCCCCAAGUAAUUCUUCAUUACAGUGGCUGGACACAUUCCUAAGAAAACUUUUGUUUGUUUUGUUUUGUUUUCUGUAUAAACAAAUAGUGAAAGUAACCUCCAGCUUUAAUGUAAACUUAAUUUUAUAUUUAUUAUUUGACUCUUCUGUUCUACAUAAAUUGGUAAAGAAUGAUUAAACAAAUUUUGUGGCAUUAGAUUUGAACAGAGCAUAUAAAGGAGAAGGGAGGUCUUUUACGACAUUUUUUUCCCAAUUUGGCUUAUUCCAUGUAUAUGCAUUUUAUUUUAUUUUUCUCAAGUUUAAUUUCAAAAUUAUUUGACUUGCUCACGUUAACAGAAAACCUUUUAGUGAAUUUAAAUUUGAUUUUUAGCAAAUUAUUUUCAAUUUAGUGGUAAAUUAAUAUCAAUAAAGAAAAGCAGUUGGAGUUGGCAAGAUGUUAAAAGGAAACCCAUUCUUAUUACCAUUUCCUUUCAUAUUUAUCUGACUUAAUGAAAAUGA
rnacentral:lncRNA from 1 species